rnacentral:rRNA from 1 species
GUCCACGCCGUAAACGAUGAGAACUAAGUGUUGGCGCGAGUCAGUGCUGAAGUUAACGCAUUAAGUUCUCCGCCUGGGUAGUACGGUCGCAAGACUGAAACUCAAAGGAAUUGACGGGAACCCGCACAAGCGGUGGAGUAUGUUGUUUAAUUCGACGAUACACGAAGAACCUUACCAGGUCUUGACAUACCAUUGACAGGCGCAGAGAUGCGCUCUCCUUCGGGCAAUGGAUACAGGUGGUGCAUGGUUGUCGU